rnacentral:rRNA from 1 species
AGAGUUUGAUCCUGGCUCAGAUUGAACGCUGGCGGCAGGCCUAACACAUGCAAGUCGAGCGGUAGAGAGAAGCUUGCUUCUCUUGAGAGCGGCGGACGGGUGAGUAAUGCCUAGGAAUCUGCCUGGUAGUGGGGGAUAACGUUCGGAAACGGACGCUAAUACCGCAUACGUCCUACGGGAGAAAGCAGGGGACCUUCGGGCCUUGCGCUAUCAGAUGAGCCUAGGUCGGAUUAGCUAGUUGGUGGGGUAAUGGCUCACCAAGGCGACGAUCCGUAACUGGUCUGAGAGGAUGAUCAGUCACACUGGAACUGAGACACGGUCCAGACUCCUACGGGAGGCAGCAGUGGGGAAUAUUGGACAAUGGGCGAAAGCCUGAUCCAGCCAUGCCGCGUGUGUGAAGAAGGUCUUCGGAUUGUAAAGCACUUUAAGUUGGGAGGAAGGGCAGUUACCUAAUACGUGAUUGUUUUGACGUUACCGACAGAAUAA